UCACCAUUCCCUUUACUGGACAUCCCCAAAAGAUUGUUCAGUUCUUAAAUCCCUUGUGUGGUGGUAAGAGGUCUGGGAAGUUUCUGGAGGGAAGAAGUGGUUUCUGUGGGUGUGAUCUGGUGGACACCCAACUGGAAGCCUCUUUGGAAACCCCGGGAAACCCCCAUGGGCUCUUGCCAGGCCCUCUGCCCUCCUGUUCCCAGUCUACUGCUGACUCCACACUUAGCAACCACUCACUUCAACUCCCGAGAAGACUGGCCCUUCAGAAGAGACAGGAAAAUAUCUGUGAGGGGAAUCCCUCAACUCCAGGAGAAGAAGAGACUGAGAUGUUCUGAUAAAAGUUUAAUUUAAAAAGGAAAAAAAAAAAGGUUUACACUUACAUUUGAGA
rnacentral:lncRNA from 1 species